ensembl:miRNA MIR26A2 microRNA 26a-2
GGCUGUGGCUGGAUUCAAGUAAUCCAGGAUAGGCUGUUUCCGUCUGUGAGGCCUAUUCUUGAUUACUUGUUUCUGGAGGCAGCU